rnacentral:rRNA from 1 species
GACGAGGAGCUUGCUCCUCUGACGUUAGCGGCGGACGGGUGAGUAACACGUGGAUAACCUACCUAUAAGACUGGGAUAACUUCGGGAAACCGGAGCUAAUACCGGAUAAUAUAUUGAACUGCAUGGUUCAAUAGUGAAAGACGGUUUUGCUGUCACUUAUAGAUGGAUCCGCGCCGCAUUAGCUAGUUGGUAAGGUAACGGCUUACCAAGGCAACGAUGCGUAGCCGACCUGAGAGGGUGAUCGGCCACACUGGAACUGAGACACGGUCCAGACUCCUACGGGAGGCAGCAGUAGGGAAUCUUCCGCAAUGGGCGAAAGCCUGACGGAGCAACGCCGCGUGAAUGAUGAAGGUCUUCGGAUCGUAAAACUCUGUUAUUAGGGAAGAACAAAUGUGUAAGUAACUAUGCACGUCUUGACGGUACCUAAUCAGAAAGCCACGGCUAACUACGUGCCAGCAGCCGCGGUAAUACGUAGGUGGCAAGCGUUAUCCGGAAUUAUUGGGCGUAAAGCGCGCGUAGGCGGUUUUUUAAGUCUGAUGUGAAAGCCCACGGCUCAACCGUGGAGGGUCAUUGGAAACUGGAAAACUUGAGUGCAGAAGAGGAAAGUGGAAUUCCAUGUGUAGCGGUGAAAUGCGCAGAGAUAUGGAGGAACACCAGUGGCGAAGGCGACUUUCUGGUCUGUAACUGACGCUGAUGUGCGAAAGCGUG